UUGAAGUUGGAAAAUGGGAACUACUGAAGAAAAUAAAGCAAAUGGCUAAAGUCCAGGAGCAGGUUGUUGAGGUUAGGAAUAAGAUUUGUGGUUUAGAGUCCUCUCCUGAUCUCCAAAAAGAUGAAAGGCAAAGGGUGGUAAUUGGGGAAACGAUAAUGAGCCUUCUUCUAAAAUUGGAUACUAUCCAGGGAUUGCACCCAAGUCUCAGGGAUGUUAGGAAAUCUUUGGCAAGGGAGCUCGUAGAACUGCUGGAGAAGCUUGAUUUACUUGCGAAAGCUAAAUCUUCUGAAAAUCAUUGCAUUGAGCCUAAUAAUAUCACAGGCAUUGAAGGAGGACAAAAUGGCGAUAUAGCAGAACAUCCAAAUCAUGAUGCUUGUCAAAUGAUGGACGUAGUGUCUGACACCCAGGC
rnacentral:misc_RNA from 1 species